rnacentral:rRNA from 1 species
GACGAACGCUGGCGGCGUGCUUAACACAUGCAAGUCGAACGAAGAGCGAUGGAAGCUUGCUUCUAUCAAUCUUAGUGGCGAACGGGGGAGUAACGCGUAAUCAACCUGCCCUUCAGAGGGGGACAACAGUUGGAAACGACUGCUAAUACCGCAUACGAUCCAAUCUCGGCAUCGGGACUGGAUGAAAGGUGGCCUCUAUUUAUAAGCUAUCACUGAAGGAGGGGAUUGCGUCUGAUUAGCUAGUUGGAGGGGUAACGGCCCACCAAGGCGAUGAUCAGUAGCCGGUCUGAGAGGAUGAACGGCCACAUUGGGACUGAGACACGGCCCAGACUCCUACGGGAGGCAGCAGUGGGGAAUCUUCCGCAAUGGACGAAAGUCUGACGGAGCAACGCCGCGUGAGUGAUGACGGCCUUCGGGUUGUAAAGCUCUGUUAAUCGGGACGAAUGGUUCUUGUGCGAAUAGUGCGAGGAUUUGACGGUACCGGAAUAGAAAGCCACGGCUAACUACGU